rnacentral:rRNA from 1 species
GCAAGUCGAACGCGAAAGCAUCCUUCGGGGUGCGAGUAGAGUGGCGCACGGGUGAGUAACACGUAGACAACCUGCCUUCCAGUUCGGGAUAACCUCUUGAAAGAGGGGCUAAUACCGGAUAACACACCUCAUCGCAUGGUGAGGGGUUGAAAGGCUUGCUGCUGGAAGAGGGGUCUGCGGGACAUUAGCUUGUUGGUGGGGUAACGGCCUACCAAGGCAGCGAUGUCUAGCGGGUCUGAGAGGAUGAUCCGUCACACUGGAACUGAGACACGGUCCAGACUCCUACGGGAGGCAGCAGUGGGGAAUUUUGCGCGAUGGGCGAAAGCCUGACGCAGCAACGCCGCGUGAGUGAAGAAGGCUUUUGGGUCGUAAAGCUCUUUUCUGAGGGAAGAGUAAAGACGGUACCUCAGGAAUAAGCACCGGCUAACUCCGUGCCAGCAGCCGCGGUAAUACGGAGGGUGCAAGCGUUGUUCGGAUUUACUGGGCGUAAAGGGCGUGUAGGCGGAUAUGCAAGCUGGAGGUGAAAGCCCCGGGCUCAACCCGGGAAUUGCUUUGUAGAACUGCAUGUCUAGAGAAAGUCAGAGGCAGGUGGAAUUCCAGGUGUAGAGGUGAAAUUCGUAGAGAUCUGGAGGA